rnacentral:rRNA from 1 species
AUACGUAGGGAGCGAGCGUUGUCCGGAAUUACUGGGUGUAAAGGGAGCGUAGGCGGGAUUGCAAGUCAGAUGUGAAAACUACGGGCUCAACCUGUAGAUUGCAUUUGAAACUGUAGUUCUUGAGUGAAGUAGAGGUAAGCGGAAUUCCUAGUGUAGCGGUGAAAUGCGUAGAUAUUAGGAGGAACAUCGGUGGCGAAGGCGGCUUACUGGGUCUUUUACUGACGCUGAGGCUCGAAAGCGUGGGGAGC